CUUGGACACAACUCAAGAAACACUCCUUGACACUUAGAAUUUUACUAUUACUUUCUAACCAACAUCACUUUUCUCUAUUACUUACACACCUCCAUACAACCAAUCAUACUCGCGUUCAAGUUCCUGGGACUACCUACUCAUCUGAUGAGAACAUCUACAUCAUAACUGGUAAUUAUGCUGGUUUUAUUUAAUUAAUCUAAAUUAAUUAAAAUCUAUAAAUAGCAGGAUACAUGCAUG